GCUUCCUGGAUCCAGCCCUUUGGUUGGCUUUUGGCUUUUAGAGAGGCAAAAGCCAAAGCCAAACCAAACACACCCUCCUACGUGUGACGUGCCCCACGCUUUCUCUCCUUCUCCCGUCUGAACACACAUUAUCAAUGAAGCACACCAUGCCGACGCUGCGAGCAGCGAACUUUAGGGUAUGGUUAUUUCCUCAGUUUCAGAAAACUUCAUCUUUCUGCUCUGUUUGACAGUUUUGUUUGACAGCUCUGUGAUUACUGCUAGGUCUGAUAAAAUUAGCUAAAAACGUCCAGGUAGCGUAAAAAAAGGAGCUGGAUAGAUACUGCUAUUGAUAUGCUGGUUUAUCUCCACGAUAACGUUGAGGUACGCUAAUUUAAGAUAAACAAUAUUAACGCGCGUUAGGUGUCCAUUUCGAAGACGCUUUCAUGAUAAGUCUGUCAGCCGGUGCCUGUGGCUCAAACUUUAAUUCCCACAUCUCAAUAGAUGAAACGGGUUCAGGUAAGCAACUUGCUGCGCGCCUGACAAUUGUCCAAGUUCAUUAUGAUGCGUUCAUUCAGUGGCACAGCAUGUCUUAAAAGGAAGUCUCAACACUAAACCUGAACGGUUCGCCAAGCAACCUGCAGUUCCCUCCACAUUUUCGCAUCCGGGCUUGGGACCGG
rnacentral:lncRNA from 1 species